rnacentral:rRNA from 1 species
GACGAACGCUGGCGGCGUGCUUAACACAUGCAAGUCGAACGGAAAGGCCUCUUUCGGGGGGUACUCGAGUGGCGAACGGGUGAGUAACACGUGAGUAACCUGCCCUUGACUUUGGGAUAACUUCAGGAAACUGGGGCUAAUACCGGAUAGGAGCUCCUGCUGCAUGGUGGGGGUUGGAAAGUUUCGGCGGUUGGGGAUGGACUCGCGGCUUAUCAGCUUGUUGGUGGGGUAGUGGCUUACCAAGGCUUUGACGGGUAGCCGGCCUGAGAGGGUGACCGGCCACAUUGGGACUGAGAUACGGCCCAGACUCCUACGGGAGGCAGCAGUGGGGAAUAUUGCACAAUGGGUGGAAGCCUGAUGCAGCAACGCCGUGUGCGGGAUGACGGCCUUCGGGUUGUAAACCGCUUUCGCUCAUGACGAAGCUUUGUGUGACGGUAGUGGGUAAAGAAGCACCGGCUUACUACGUG